AGGACAUAGAAUUCAAGAGGAAGGAAUUCUUAUCUAUUGGUGAGAGGGCUCUUGCAAAUAUAGUUGAAGGCACUCUUUGUGGUGUAGUGUUGUAAUAGAAAAUAUAUUGGGUUAUGUCUUGAGAAGACUGAGAGAGACUAACUAUUAUAUUUACUAUGAGCAGUUUGAUGUUGUAUGGGUUCUAAUUGGGUUGAUGGAUAGUAUAGCUA
rnacentral:misc_RNA from 1 species